GGACGACUGGCUUGGGUUUGCCAGUGGCCUGGCACACAAAUGAUGCCACACCCCCUGACACCCCGAUCUGGUCCGUGGGAAUUUUGGUGAACCUUGGUGGAGCUAAAAAGGAAGCAGAAAAGAAGAGUGACAAAGGGAAAAUGGACCAGUCAGACUGACUUGUGUCCUGACGGCUGCGCCAUUGUGCUUACUUCCUGGGUAUCAUCUAGAGGACAAGCUGAAGGACUUCCUGUGGGUCAUAAAUAAAAGAUGGGGCAGGGCUUCAGAGGAACAUCUCUCCCAACCCAGCUGCCCCCACCCUUCCUCUCAGGCAGGACAACACAGAGCUGUGCACAGCUCAGGCUGUCAUCCCACAUGAGCGUUUCACAGAACCCCAAACACCUGUGGUGGGGAUUUAGAAAUGCGGAGCGUGAUGAUCCUAAUAAACGACACCGACAUUUCUGCCGUUCACUUCUUGCUCUGUGGAGAAAUUCAGGAGGACAUUAUUAGGGAUUAUGUGAGAUGUUUUGAUGCCCUGCAGUUGCCCUCUGCAAGAAAACAGCAAUUUCCAAAUGUGAUAUUGAACCAACAUAACUGAACCUACUCUUUUCAUAGCAGCUGAGUCAGACCGGUAAAACAACCUCACACUUCCACCCUUUUCUAUCUGUCUGUGGCCUGUUGCCAUGGUGCCCAGCUUAACUCCUCUUCAGCUGCCGAAUCGCUGCUAUCCAUCAGGGCGAAGUCAGGAUGACCCUUACCAUGGCAACCUGAAUCCCUGCUCCCCUGUGUCUAGGUGGGCGAGGUCAUGCUUUUUUGAUUGAAGACACAAUAGGAACAAUAAUGAAAA